UGGGGAAUAUUGGACAAUGGGCGAAAGCCUGAUCCAGCAAUGCCGCGUGAGUGAUGAAGGCCUUAGGGUUGUAAAGCUCUUUUACCCGGGAUGAUAAUGACAGUACCGGGAGAAUAAGCCCCGGCUAACUCCGUGCCAGCAGCCGCGGUAAUACGGAGGGGGCUAGCGUUGUUCGGAAUUACUGGGCGUAAAGCGUACGUAGGCGGCUUUGUAAGUUAGAGGUGAAAGCCCGGGGCUCAACUCCGGAAUUGCCUUUAAGACUGCAUCGCUAGAAUCAUGGAGAGGUGAGUGGAAUUCCGAGUGUAGAGGUGAAAUUCGUAGAUAUUCGGAAGAACACCAGUGGCGAAGGCGACUCACUGGACAUGUAUUGACGCUGAGGUACGAAAGCGUGGGGAGCAAACAGG
rnacentral:rRNA from 1 species